AUUGAACGCUGGCGGCAGGCCUAACACAUGCAAGUCGAACGGUAACAGGAAGCAGCUUGCUGCUUCGCUGACGAGUGGCGGACGGGUGAGUAAUGUCUGGGAAGCUGCCUGAUGGAGGGGGAUAACUACUGGAAACGGUAGCUAAUACCGCAUAAUGUCGCAAGACCAAAGAGGGGGACCUUCGGGCCUCUUGCCAUCGGAUGUGCCCAGAUGGGAUUAGCUUGUUGGGGGGGUAACGGCUCACCAAGGCGACGAUCCCUAGCUGGUCUGAGAGGAUGACCAGCCACACUGGAACUGAGACACGGUCCAGACUCCUACGGGAGGCAGCAGUGGGGAAUAUUGCACAAUGGGCGCAAGCCUGAUGCAGCCAUGCCGCGUGUAUGAAGAAGGCCUUCGGGUUGUAAAGUACUUUCAGCGGGGAGGAAGGGAGUAAAGUUAAUACCUUUGCUCAUUGACGUUACCCGCAGAAGAAGCACCGGCUAACUCCGUG
rnacentral:rRNA from 1 species